GGGUCGGUGGCGUAGUUGGUUAUCGCAUCUGUCUAACAGUGGCUUACAUAAGCCCACAGAAGGUCCUCAGUUCGAACCUGGGCCGACUCA